UACGUAGGGGGGCUAGCGUUGUCCGGAAUUAUUGGGCGUAAAGAGCUCGUAGGCGGUGUGUCGCGUCGGCCGUGAAAACCUGCAGCUUAACUGUGGGCUUGCGGUCGAUACGGGCAUCACUGGAGUUCGGCAGGGGAGACUGGAAUUCCUGGUGUAGCGGUGAAAUGCGCAGAUAUCAGGAGGAACACCGGUGGCGAAGGCGGGUCUCUGGGCCGAUACUGACGCUGAGGAGCGAAGGCGUGGGGAGCGAACAGG
rnacentral:rRNA from 1 species